GACGUAGGGCGCGAGCGUUGUCCGGAUUUAUUGGGCGUAAAGGGUGCGUAGGCGGCGUGGUAAGUCGGGUGUGAAAUCUCGGAGCUUAACUCCGAAACUGCAUUCGAUACUGCCGUGCUUGAGGACUGGAGAGGAGACUGGAAUUUACGGUGUAGCGGUGAAAUGCGUAGAUAUCGUAAGGAAGACCAGUGGCGAAGGCGGGUCUCUGGGCCGAUACUGACGCUGAGGAGCGAAAGCGUGGGGAGCGAACAGG
rnacentral:rRNA from 1 species